UACGGAGGGUGCGAGCGUUGUCCGGAAUCACUGGGCGUAAAGGGCGCGUAGGCGGCUUGGGAAGUCCGUGGUGAAAGCUCGAGGCUCAACUUCGAGUCGGCCAUGGAUACUCCUAAGCUCGAGUCGACUAGAGGCAGAUGGAAUUCCGGGUGUAGCGGUGGAAUGCGUAGAGAUCCGGAAGAACACCGGUGGCGAAGGCGGCUAUCUGGACCGUAACUGACGCUGAGGCGCGAAAGCGUGGGGAGCAAACAGG
rnacentral:rRNA from 1 species